AGUGAACGCUGGCGGUAGGCCUAACACAUGCAAGUCGAACGGCAGCACAGUAAGAGCUUGCUCUUACGGGUGGCGAGUGGCGGACGGGUGAGGAAUACAUCGGAAUCUACUUUUUCGUGGGGGAUAACGUAGGGAAACUUACGCUAAUACCGCAUACGACCUACGGGUGAAAGCAGGGGAUCUUCGGACCUUGCGCGAGUGAAUGAGCCGAUGUCGGAUUAGCUAGUUGGCGGGGUAAAGGCCCACCAAGGCGACGAUCCGUAGCUGGUCUGAGAGGAUGAUCAGUCACACUGGAACGGAGACGAGGUCCCGACUCCUGAGGGAGGCACCAGUCGGGAAUAUUCGGCAAGGGGCGGAAGCCUAAUCCAGCCAUACCGCGUGGGUGUAGCAGGCCGUCGGGUCGUAAAGCCUUUUUGUUGGGAAAGAAAAGCAGCAGGUUAAUACCCCGCUGUUUUGACGGUACCCGAAGAAGAAGCACCGGCUAACUUCGUG
rnacentral:rRNA from 1 species